UACCCCGGACCAGGUGGACCACGAAGAG
rnacentral:sRNA from 1 species